rnacentral:rRNA from 1 species
GAUGAACGCUAGCGGCAGGCUUAAUACAUGCAAGUCGAGGGGUAGCAAGAUUGUAGCAAUACAAUUGUUGACGACCGGCAAACGGGUGCGGAACACGUACACAACCUUCCUACAAGUGGGGAAUAGCCCAGAGAAAUUUGGAUUAAUACCCCGUAACAUAGCGAUGUGGCAUCACAUUGCUAUUAUAGCUUCGGCGCUUGUUGAUGGGUGUGCGGCUGAUUAGAUAGUUGGCGGGGUAACGGCCCACCAAGUCUACGAUCAGUAGCUGAUGUGAGAGGAUGAUCAGCCACACGGGCACUGAGACACGGGCCUGACUCCUACGGGAGGCAGCAGUAAGGAAUAUUGGACAAUGGACGCAAGUCUGAUCCAGCCAUGCCGCGUGAAGGAUUAAGGUCCUCUGGAUUGUAAACUUCUUUUAUAAGGGACGAAAAAAGGUCUUUCUAGAUCGUCUGACGGUACCUUAUGAAUAAGCACCGGCUAACUCCGUGCCAGCCGCCGCGGUAAAAC